rnacentral:rRNA from 1 species
AUUGAACGCUGGCGGCAUGCCUUACACAUGCAAGUCGAACGGUAACAGGUUAAGCUGACGAGUGGCGAACGGGUGAGUAAUGUAUCGGAACGUGCCCAGUCGUGGGGGAUAACUACUCGAAAGAGUGGCUAAUACCGCAUACGACCUGAGGGUGAAAGCGGGGGACCGUAAGGCCUCGCGCGAUGGGAGCGGCCGAUAUCGGAUUAGCAAGUUGGUGGGGUAAAAGCCCACCAAGGCGACGAUCUGUAGCUGGUCUGAGAGGACGACUAGCCACACUGGGACUGAGACACGGCCCAGACUCCUACGGGAGGCAGCAGUGGGGAAUUUUGGACAAUGGACGCAAGUCUGAUCCAGCCAUGCCGCGUGCGGGAAGAAGGCCUUCGGGUUGUAAACCGCUUUUGUCAGGGAAGAAACGAGUUUCUCUAAUACAGAGACUUAAUGACGGUACCUGAAGAAUAAGCACCGGCUAACUACGUGCCAGCCGCCGCAGUAACAC